UACGAAGGGGCUAGCGUUGUUCGGAUUUACUGGGCGUAAAGCGCACGUAGGCGGAUUGUUAAGUGAGGGGUGAAAUCCUGGAGCUCAACUCCAGAACUGCCUUUCAUACUGGCAAUCUAGAGUCCGGAAGAGGUAAGUGGAACUCCUAGUGUAGAGGUGGAAUUCGUAGAUAUUAGGAAGAACACCAGUGGCGAAGGCGGCUUACUGGUCCGGUACUGGACGCUGAGGUGCGAAAGCGUGGGGAGCAAACAGG
rnacentral:rRNA from 1 species